rnacentral:rRNA from 1 species
CAUGAUUUAGCCAGCACCCCCAAGCAAAGAGACCUUUAGUUUGAUACCCCGAAACCAGGUGAGCUACCCCGAGACAGCCUAUAUUAAUCUAGGGCUAACCCGUCUCUGUGGCAAAAGAGUGGGAAGAGCUCCGGGUAGAAGUGAAAGACCUACCGAACCUGGUGAUAGCUGGUUGACUGAGAAAUGGAUAGAAGUUCAGCCUCGUACACCCCAAACCAAGAAAUGUUAUCGCCAAGAUAUUUAGGGAAACGUACGAGAGUUAGUUGAAAGGGGUACAGCCCUUUUAACAAAGGAUACAACCUUUACAGGAGGAUAAAGAUCAUAAUGUAUAAGAUAUACUGUUCUAGUGGGCCUGAAAGCAGCCACCUAAACAGAAAGCGUUAAAGCUCGGACAGAAAGAAGUUUAUUAUACUGAUAAAAAAUCUUAUUCCCCUAACUAUAUCAGACCAACCCAUGCCCACAUGGAAGAGAUUAUGCUAAAAUGAGUAAUAAGAAGACCCGCUCUUCUCCCAGCACAAGUGUAAACCAGAUCGGACCAACCACUGGAGCUUAACGAACCCAACCCAAGAGGGUAGUGUGACUAAGAGAAAACACGAGAAGACCUCACAUUAAUUGAUCGUUAACCCCACACUGGAGUGCUAUUUUAAGGGAAAGACUAAAAGAAGAGGAAGGAACUCGGCAAACACAAGCCUCGCCUGUUUACCAAAAACAUCGCCUCCUGCAACUAAACUGAGUAUAGGAGGUCCAGCCUGCCCAGUGACUACGGGUUCAACGGCCGCGGUAUCUUGACCGUGCAAAGGUAGCGCAAUCACUUGUCUCUUAAAUAGAGACCUGUAUGAAUGGCUAGACGAGGGCUUAACUGUCUCCCCCUUCCAGUCAGUGAAAUUGAUCUAUCCGUGCAGAAGCGGGUAUAAAUAUACAAGACGAGAAGACCCUUUGGAGCUUAAGGUACAAAUUCAACCACGUUAAACGACUCUGUAAAAGGCAAGAACUUAGUGACAAUGAAAUUUUACCUUCGGUUGGGGCGACCGCGGAGGAAAAACGAGCCUCCGAGUGGACUGGGCCAAACCCCUGAAGCCAAUAGAAACAUCUAUAAGCCGCAGAACAUCUGACCAAAAAUGAUCCGGCUAAAGAGCCGAUCAACGAACCAAGUUACCCAAGGGAUAACAGCGCAAUCCCCUCCCAGAGCCCAUAUCUACGAGGGGGUUUACGACCUCGAUGUUGGAUCAGGACAUCCUAAUGGUGCAGCCGCUAUUAAGGGUUCGUUUGUUCAACGAUUAAAGUCC